GCACUGUUUUUCUUCUCCAGCUCAGCCACGCUUCAUUCAGACGACACACAGACACCCUGAAGGGGCCAAACGUCACCCUCAUGGGGAACCAGAAGAAUCCCUGGAUCUCUGCUCUGAUCUUGGUGGGUCUUCUACAUAAAGUUAGUGGACUACCAAAUACCCAGGUCUGUAACCCAGCUGUCAGUGACACUAUACACAACUAUGGUUUGAAAACCCUAAAUGGGACCCAGUACAUCCCAUUCUCCAAUUAUGCUGGAAAGCAUGUCCUCAUUGUCAAUGUGGCCACCUACUGAGGACUCACCUUCCAGUAUCUGGAAUUGAAUGCACUGCAACAGGAGUUACGAGAUGUUGGAUUCGCAGUCUUCGGGUUUCCAUGCAACCAAUUCGGGAUGCAAGAGCCUGGAAAAAAUAAUGAAAUUCUUUCUGCAUUAAAGUAUGUCCGUCCAGGCAAUGGAUUUGUUCCAAAUUUCCAGUUAUUUGAGAAGGUGGAUGUGAAUGGAGUCGAUGAACACGCUCUUUUCAAAUUUUUAAAGAAUGCCUGCCCACCGGUGGGAGACAGCUUCGGUAACCCCACCAACAGAUUGUUUUGGGAACCUCUCAAAAUCAACGACAUCAAGUGGAACUUUGAGAAGUUUCUGGUGGGUCCAGACGGCAGACCUGUGAUGAGGUGGUUUCCCAGAGUGAACGUAUCUGAAGUUAGGGAAGACAUCUUGAAAUACUUCAAGCUUGUUCAAACGGCCGAAUAACUUUAAAUCACUAGAUACUUUUUCUCUCUCUCCAGCAUUAAAUGUGUUCAAAUAGUCAAAACAGGGUUUCUGCAGGUUUUAUGAAGAGAACUUUAUGACCCUUUUAAAAGCAGUAAAGAAAAAAUAAGGAAUAAAUUAAAGGAAAAGCAAUAUGUCAAUAUGUUCUCUAAAUCUUAAGCUCUAGGGUCUAGGUUUUUCCUGUUUUCCCGUUCAGAUGUCUUAAAACAGGAUGUACAGAAAAGCAAAAAGAUAAAUCGAUUGGCUUAGAAAAAUCAAGUUUUCAAGAUAUGUGUUGUUAUUUGAUGUGUCUUGAUUUAAGGCUGUUUAGAUAUUUUUAUUGGGAAAAAGACAAAAAUAGUGAGGAAUAUGAUAUUUUUUCUCUCAAGUGCAUACAUUUAAUGCUAUUAUUUAAUGAAUUUAAGACCUUUCUACUCCGAUUUAAAGCCUUAAUUUGUGGACGGGCGAAGCAAGACUUUUUAAGACCCGCAGAAACCCUGUAAUAGCAAGAUUACAUGUGUUACGAGUUAAAAAAAUGUAAACCUUUGUGAAUUGGAUUAUUGUUACAAGAAUUUGAACAGUAUGAAGUUGAAGUAUAAGGAUUCCUAGACUGCUCCUUCUAGAGGCUGUCAAUGGGUGGGUUUGGAGACUGGCAUGUUGAUGACGGGAAGGCUUGAAAACAGACCCUCUGUGGUGCCUGACCUGAGCUCGAGGGCCAGCGGGCAGCUCUUUAGUGCAUUCAGGCUGCCCUGCUGUUGCUUUUCGAUCAUGUCACAUCUCCUAAACAAUCCUUUGAACUUGCUGCAGCCUCUGUGGACAUUCAGUAAAUAAAGAGUGAAAUGCAA